rnacentral:lncRNA from 1 species
CUCUAAACCAAUAUUGUCUUCUUGUAGAGUCAUUUUUGUCCUUCUUUUAGAAUGGCCGGAGGCCAAGACAUUAGUAUGACAAAAAGUUUAGGGUCCAAGUUGGAUGCUAUCAUGAAUGUCCUUGCUACGUUAUUGCAAAGAACUACAGAGAUUGAAGGAGUCGUGGUAAGGCUUCAUAAUGAUAGAAUAUUUGGGGUGGCACAAUCUAGGUUGUACCAGCCUCAAACUUCUGCACGU